UUAAGCUAAGAAUAUAACGGGUGGAGCUUUAUAUUCAAUAAUUAAUAAAAGAUGAGUAAAUAAAAUAUAAUUUAUAAAUUAGGCUUUUUAGUGGCCACAUUUUUAAAGUAUUUUAACUAAUAAAAUAAAAAAAAUUUUAUUUUUAUUCUCUUUAAAUAUUUAGUAGGAUAUUUUUUGUAUUAAAAAUAAAUUAGAAAUAAUGAGAAUAUUAGUAGAGUUAUAAGUAUUAAAUUUAAUAAAAUAUUUAAUUUAGAAAAAUUUUUUAAUUAAAAUAUAAAGAAAAAUUAAAGGAAUUCGGCAAAAAUUUUUCUUGCCUGUUUAACAAAAACAU
rnacentral:rRNA from 1 species